CUGAGAUCGAGGGUAUGCCUGAACCAAGAAGCUUCAUUCGAUUCCUCAAAACUUCUCCUGUGCUCACUGCUUAACAUCGCGAGCAGAACUUCUUCGUCUUCUAGCGGCGUCCUUCAUCCCCGUUAAAUGUGAAGCUCGGCUUGAAGAUGGAGCACUUGUAUCAAAAUCUGAUGGAGUGGAGUUUAGGGUGAAAGAGGGCUAUGAAAACCAUGAAGAAGGGAGAGAAACAACACUCGUCGUCUUCGGGUGCUUCUCUAGCCCACAGGUCUCUGUUAAUAAUGAGGGUCGAGAUGUGUGGAAAGUAUAUCUCGACAUGGAAGAAUAUGCAGCUGCUUGGGACUGGAGGAUUGGGCCCGAUUGGAGGAGCCAUAUGGAAUUAUAUUCUUAAUUAUUGACUGUUCUUGAUUCAUCAUUGCCUCAAUGGCCAGCAUAUUCUUCACAUAUCCACUUUAAAGUCACGUCAUUUUGGAAAAUUAUGCUGUCUCAAAGAUCAAGAAGGGUUGACGUGACUAUUUGGAGGAAGGAGCAUGGGAUGUUAUACAUGCUAUAGAGAGAUAAACUCUCUUUGGAACUUUUGACAGUCCCUUUUUUUCUACCUUCAUUUAAUUUUAUUUGUAAUUGUGUGCAUGAUAUUUUCUAUUACUGUUCAGAUUCAAAUUUAUUUACUAGUUAGUUUGCUAGAUUCGUUCCCUAGUUUUCAGGGACUGUUUUCCUGCUCUGUAUCAAUUUGUUCCUUAUUGAGAAA